rnacentral:rRNA from 1 species
CCUACGGGAGGCAGCAGUGAGGACUAUUGGUCAAUGGACGAGAGUCUGAACCAGCCAAGUAGCGUGAAGGAUGACUGCCCUAUGGGUUGUAAACUUCUUUUAUAAAGGAAUAAAACGAGGCACGUGUGCCUUUUUGCAUGUACUUUAUGAAUAAGGAUCGGCUAACUCCGUGCCAGCAGCCGCGGUAAUACGGAGGAUCCGAGCGUUAUCCGGAUGUCUUGGGUUUAAAGGGAGCGUAGAUGGGUUGUUAAGUCAGUUGUGAAAGUUUGCGGCUCAACCGUAAAAUUGCAAUUGAUACUGGCAGUCGUGAGUACAGUUGAGGUAAGCGGAAUUCGUGGUGUAGCGGUGAAAUGCUUAGAUAUCACGAAGAACCCCGAUUGCGAAGGCAGCUUACUAAACUGUGACUGACAUUGAUGCUCGAAAGUGUGGGUAUCAAACAGGAUUAGAUACCCGUGUAGUC